GGGUGGAGGAAGGAAGGAAGGAAACUGGCAGGGGCUGGCAGGUGGAGGAAGGAAGGAAACAGCAACAGAGCUCUUCAGUUUUGGGUUGUUUCCAUAUGAGGACCAAUUUGCAAUGAUAACAGCAAAUGACCAAAAUAAUUCUGUGGGUCCAGAUAUCUGCUAUAACUCAACAGCUCCUUCUCUAUAAAAUAAUGUCCAUGUGAAGAUUAAGAAGCUCGAUGAUGACUGACUUACUUGUCAAGGACAUGGACAUUUCUCUCCUCUGCACACCGCCGCAACUUGUUGAAGGUCUAAGAGUGUGUCCUCAAGGACCAUAAUAUAUAUUAAAUGAAACCAAGCAUUUCACCUUGAGACUGACACUUUCUCUUUGUAUUUUAAAAAAGCUUUUUAAAAUAACCACAUUAAUAUUCUCAGUUCCACAACAAACUCGAACUCCAAAUGCUGAGGCCUAAGAAAACCCCAAAUCUAAACUGAGCCAAAUAUGAAUCUCUAUUGUAGCCAUCACUUGUUCUGUUAGUUUGCUAGUAGUUGCUUACAGAUGUCAAAGAAACCACAAAUACCUGAGUGUAAACUCCUUGGAAGCGCUGCUGUACUUCGUUUUGGAUGAAAAUCAAAACUGAAAAGCUCUGCAAGAUUGAUUUUUUUCAUUUGUCAUGAAGAGCAGCAGAUAGAGUUCCACAAGACUUAGCAUUCUGUCACCAAGAUACUUUUGUUUACUUCUGUCACUAGGCAACCAGAAUGCUUACUUUCAGACAGGGAAGUACAAAGGAGAAUUAAGAGCUGUGGCUGUUACACUGAACAGCCGCCAAGUGGUCCAAUACCCACUUCUUCUUCUUUUUGCCUCCUGCCUACCUCUCAGCGUGACUGCUCCCGGCCAGCCGUGCUCUGCGCAGACUCACUCACUGAAGCUGAGAGCAUGCCGACUGAGUGACAUCAUGCAUUGCAGCAGCAGCAGCAGGAAGGAGUGCUGGAGGUUUGAAGCCAAGCUGCUGACUGGAGCCUGCCUGGGGGCUGUAUAAAAGCCGUGUUUCGUUUUUUGUUGCUGACAGACUGACUCACAUGAAGGCAAGGGGUAAAGUAAAUGCAAGUCGUAUUAGGCAGGGGGAGAGGAAGAAGAAUGUAAAGGAAAAGAAACUGCCUGAGGGCUGCAUGCAUAAUCUCAUUGUUCUGCUAUGCUGACUGACCCUCAAGAAGGCAAGGCAGGGGGAGGACAGUAAACAAAACUUUUAUUUUUAAAAGUAACCAUCCGGUCCAGAGAACAAAUGGAAUGUGAAGAAAACAAAUGAAAAAAGAGGGAGAGAUGACAAGAAAGGGGUGGGGGCUGCCUUGGAACUGCUGUCUCACAAGAAGGGAAGGAACAAUGGAAGCUUCUGAUUUUCUUUUUCCACAUGGCAACAUCAGCUGCUAGACGUCCAAAAGCCUUUAAACUAACUGCGUCAUAAACAACAAAGGUACUCUGAGAGAUCCUCAGCUCUUCCUCAGUAGCAUGUUGAGUACCAUCCGACCUGAAAGGCCCAUCAUCCAGCACUACAUCAACAAUCAUUCUAUUUUGUCUAUCCAUGUGGUUUUCUUGGUAAAAUACAGGAGUGGUUCAUCAUUGCCUUCUCCUGCACAGUAUGAAAUGAUGCCUUCAUUGUUGUCACUGAAGUGAUCGUCCGCCUCCAGCACCUUGCUAUAUCGCUGCUGCCCAAUAUAGGUGCCUGCUUACUUUAGCUGUGCAGCUGGGAUGACCUUCGCGCUUUGGGUGACCCUACUGCGAGUAUACCUCCUGACGUACUUCACUCAUCUCUCCCAGGAACACCCCUCGCCACCACAAUAAGGCAGCAUAGCAGGAUCUGGGGGGACUUGGUCUGCUCUAGCUCAGUGGAAAU